CGAUCGCCCGCGCCGAAUCCACCAGGAGCCGGGGACCCACCUUCCCCAGGGGUGAAUCCGCGUCCGCGGUAGGGCGACUCUUCCCGCCCGAACCCGUCAGCUAACCCGGUAGGCGCUGAGGAAGAACAG
rnacentral:sRNA from 17 species